UACGAAGGGGGCUAGCGUUGCUCGGAAUCACUGGGCGUAAAGGGUGCGUAGGCGGGUUUUUAAGUCAGGGGUGAAAUCCUGGAGCUCAACUCCAGAACUGCCUUUGAUACUGAAGAUCUUGAGUUCGGGAGAGGUGAGUGGAACUGCGAGUGUAGAGGUGAAAUUCGUAGAUAUUCGCAAGAACACCAGUGGCGAAGGCGGCCAACUGGUCCGGUACUGACGCUGAGGUGCGAAAGCGUGGGGAGCAAACAGGG
rnacentral:rRNA from 1 species